rnacentral:tRNA from 1 species
GUCAGGAUGGCCGAGCGGUCCAAGGCGCUGCGUUCAGGUCGCAGUCCAGUCAUCUGGGAGAGGUUUCGAAUCCCUCUUCUGACA